rnacentral:rRNA from 1 species
GAAGUUGGAGUCGCUAGUAAUCGCAGAUCAGCAACGCUGCGGUGAAUACGUUCCCGGGCCUUGUACACACCGCCCGUCACGUCAUGAAAGUCGGUAACACCCGAGGCCGGUGGCCUAACCCCUUGUGGGAGGGAGCCGUCGAAGGUGGGAUCGGCGAUUGGGACGAAGUCGUAACAAGGUAGCCGUACCGGAAGGUGCGGCUGGAUCACCUCCUUU